rnacentral:rRNA from 1 species
AGAGUUUGAUCCUGGCUCAGAUUGAACGCUGGCGGCAUGCCUUACACAUGCAAGUCGAACGGUAACAGGUCUUCGGAUGCUGACGAGUGGCGAACGGGUGAGUAACACAUCGGAACGUGCCCGAUCGUGGGGGAUAACGGAGCGAAAGCUUUGCUAAUACCGCAUACGAUCUACGGAUGAAAGCAGGGGACCCUUGGGCCUUGCGCGGACGGAGCGGCCGAUGGCAGAUUAGGUAGUUGGUGGGAUAAAAGCUUACCAAGCCGACGAUCUGUAGCUGGUCUGAGAGGACGACCAGCCACACUGGGACUGAGACGCGGCCCAGACUCCUACGGGAGGCAGCAGUGGGGAAUUUUGGACAAUGGGCGCAAGCCUGAUCCAGCCAUGCCGCGUGCAGGAUGAAGGCCUUCGGGUUGUAAACUGCUUUUGUACGGAACGAAAAGACUCCUUUUAAUAGAGGGGGUUCAUGACGGCACCGUAAGAAUAAGCACCGGCUAACUACGUGCCAGCAGCCGCGGUAAUA